AGCAGUUUUGGACUACAACUCCCAUCAGCCCCAGCCAGGACACCCGUGUUAGCUGAGGCUGAUGGAAGUUGUAGUCCAAAACAGCU